rnacentral:rRNA from 1 species
GACGAACGCUGGCGGCGUGCUUAACACAUGCAAGUCGAACGCUGAAGCUUGGUGCUUGCACUGGGUGGAUGAGUGGCGAACGGGUGAGUAAUACGUGAGUAACCUGCCCUUGACUCUGGGAUAAGCCUGGGAAACUGGGUCUAAUACUGGAUACGACAUGUCACCGCAUGGGGGUUUGUGGAAUGUGUUUGACUGGUUUUGGAUGGGCUUAGGGCCUAUCAGCUUGUUGGUGGGGUAAUGGCUCACCAAGGCGAGGACGGGUAGCCGGCCUGAGAGGGUGACCGGCCACACUGGGACUGAGACACGGCCCAGACUCCUACGGGAGGCAGCAGUGGGGAAUAUUGCACAAUGGGCGGAAGCCUGAUGCAGCGACGCCGCGUGAGGGAUGACGGCCUUCGGGUUGUAAACCUCUUUCGGCACGGAAGAAGCGAAAGUGACGGUACGUGCAGAAGAAGCGCCGGCUAACUACGUG